rnacentral:snRNA from 1 species
CAUUAUUAUUACUGAUCAGUAAAAUUAA